rnacentral:tRNA from 1 species
GGAGAAUUGGCAGAGUGGUCGAAUGCACUGGUCUUGAAAACCAGCGUACCGCAAGGUACCGUAGGUUCGAAUCCUACAUUCUCCG